UUUCGCACUAUCCCGUCAGUACGACGACGCUUACCAACGAAGGAUGCCAUUUAAUGUGACGAAAUAAGUGCUCCUCAAGUAGGCUAGGCCUACAUUAAUCAGCCUACGUUGACAGGAACAAUGGACUCCAAAUCCAACAAGAAGUCUAAGAAGAAAAAAAUUCAAAGUGGAGGGUUCCUUUUAUCAACUCGAACUGAAUCCAAUAAAGUCGCACAUGUGGAAACCAAGAGAAAGAGUGUUAUCCCCUUCAGCAAGACCUACAAGAAAAUCCUUCCUCCAGUCAAGCGUCAUGUGCCAAGGUAUUUGCCACCCAUUGAACACUCAAGAAACCUUUCCAAAAAAGGUGGCAAGAAUAUUCGUUUGGCAUCAGAUGGCCCUGCUACUGUGAAAAAGUUUGUAAAGCAGCCAUCAUAUGAUGAGGCCCACAGUGAAGUGGCCAGGGACUACUUAUCUCCACAGCUUAUUAGAAAGU